ensembl:snRNA LOC120099548 U4 spliceosomal RNA
AGCUUUGCGCAGUGGCAGUAUCGUAGCCAAUGAGGUUUAUCCGAGGCGCGAUUAUUGCUAAUUGAAAAAACAUGAUACCAGAUGGUGAUACCUUCUGGAUAGGUCAUAUGCAGGGAAGUAGUAAAAUGGGGGUUCUUACUUGUUGACU